rnacentral:misc_RNA from 1 species
CGAUCCGAAACAAGUCCAUCUGCAACUCGACGGCAAGGCUGUCGCGUUGAAGAAGCGGUUCACGCUGACGGGUUCACGCUACACCGGCCGCGGCAUCACGCUGACGAUGAACAAGUCCGGCACCAUUCUGCGGCACGGCAAGCGCGGGCCGACCCGAUGCACCAGACAGGGAUAGCGUAGCGGCGUAACGAAACGCGCCGGCUCACACUGCCGCGGACGGCGGCUCUUUCUCGCCGU